AACGAACGCUGGCGGCAUGCCUAACACAUGCAAGUCGAACGAGACCUUCGGGUCUAGUGGCGCACGGGUGCGUAACGCGUGGGAACCUGCCCUUAGGUUCGGAAUAACUCCCCGAAAGGGGUGCUAAUACCGGAUAAUGUCUUCGGACCAAAGAUUUAUCGCCUUUGGAUGGGCCCGCGUUGGAUUAGCUAGUUGGUAGGGUAAAAGCCUACCAAGGCGACGAUCCAUAGCUGGUCUGAGAGGAUGAUCAGCCACACUGGGACUGAGACACGGCCCAGACUCCUACGGGAGGCAGGAGUGGUGAAUAUUGGACAAUGGGCGAAAGCCUGAUCCAGCAAUGCCGCGUGAGUGAUGAAGGCCUUAGGGUUGUAAAGCGCUUUUACCCGGGAUGAUAAUGACAGUACCGGGAGAAUAAGCUCCGGCUAACUCCGUG
rnacentral:rRNA from 1 species